UGAAUAAUGAUUUUUUGUCACAAAUUGUUGGAAUGUAUGAUUGAACUUUGCGAAAUUGGAUCAUCUGGAACGCAUAUUUGAAUUAGUGAAAGGAGUAUGGAGGCUGCGUUAACGAUCCAUUGUAGCUGUAGAAUUUGCUUUCAAAUAAUGGAAAUAGGGUGUCGAGGUAGAAUGGCGAGACGUAGACUUUUGUGUUUGUGUUGGUGACACGUGAUAAAUUUGCUAUUAUCGGAUCCAAGAAUCAUUAAAAGUUAAUGAGAUGUCAUAAAAUUAAAAACUAUAUGAAGCAAUAAAUUAUCAAUUUCAUAAGAUUGUUUUACGAGCAUACUACAAACCUCAAAUAAAAAAGAAACAACAGCAACGGAAUCUCUAUUUUCCGACUGAAUAGCAUCUUCAAGACUCUCAUGUUCAGAUUUGAG